rnacentral:rRNA from 1 species
UACGUAGGGGGCAAGCGUUGUCCGGAAUCAUUGGGCGUAAAGAGCGUGUAGGCGGCUCGAUAAGUCCGCUCUGAAAGCCCGGGGCUCAACCCCGGGAGGCGGGCGGAUACUGUCGAGCUAGAGUCCGGAAGAGGCGAGUGGAAUUCCUGGUGUAGCGGUGAAAUGCGCAGAUAUCAGGAGGAACACCAAUGGCGAAGGCAGCUCGCUGGGACGGUACUGACGCUGAGGAGCGAAAGCGUGGGGAGCGAACAGG